rnacentral:rRNA from 1 species
UACGUAGGGUGCGAGCGUUGUCCGGAAUUAUUGGGCGUAAAGAGCUCGUAGGCGGUGUGUCGCGUCGGCCGUGAAAACCUGGGGCUCAACUCUGGGCGUGCGGUCGAUACGGGCAUCACUGGAGUUCGGCAGGGGAGACUGGAAUUCCUGGUGUAGCGGUGAAAUGCGCAGAUAUCAGGAGGAACACCGGUGGCGAAGGCGGGUCUCUGGGCCGAUACUGACGCUGAGGAGCGAAAGCAUGGGUAGCGAACAUG